UUGAAUUAACUUUUAUGUAUGGUUUGAGGCAGAGCUGAUUUGAGGCCCCCAGCAUUGUGAAAGAAGUUGAGAAACAUCAGAAAGAUCUCAGAUCAUUAACAGAAUUGACUGGUGACCCUGGGAGUAGGAGUGACUGCUGGAAGGCUGGGUGAGGCCUCAGGCCCUGCAGCUCUCGGUCCAAGUGGGUCCACAGAGCCUGGCAGAAGUCAUGAGCUCAGGACCACAGACAUCGCAGAUGUUGGAGACCGGCUUCUUGAAGGUCACACGGCUGGCAGCAGAGACACAUCCACAGCUGGAAUCCAGUAGUUCCAAGCUUGGGCUUCUCCCACAACCUGCUGGGCCUCCUCAUUGAGGGAACACGGAAUGGCUCAGCCAAAGUUGAGAGGAGAUAAUGGGGAMCAUGAUUGGGACAGUGGAAGAUUUUAUUUUUGUUUGCUUGUUUAUUUACCUAUUCCAAAAUGAAAAUGAUUGACUAUUUUAUGGGUAUGAAUGUAUUUUUGCAGUACUGGGGAUUGAACCCAGGUACCCUCUACCAAUGAGCGACACCCCCAAACCUUGUUAUUUCUUUUGAGACAGAGUCUCACUGAGUUGCUGUGUUUGACCUUGAACUU